GAUGAACGCUGGCGGCGUGCCUAAUACAUGCAAGUCGAGCGAACAGACGAGGAGCUUGCUCCUCUGACGUUAGCGGCGGACGGGUGAGUAACACGUGGAUAACCUACCUAUAAGACUGGGAUAACUUCGGGAAACCGGAGCUAAUACCGGAUAAUAUAUUUAACCGCAUGGUUCAAUAGUGAAAGACGGUUUUGCUGUCACUUAUAGAUGGAUCCGCGCCGCAUUAGCUAGUUGGUAAGGUAACGGCUUACCAAGGCAACGAUGCGUAGCCGACCUGAGAGGGUGAUCGGCCACACUGGAACUGAGACACGGUCCAGACUCCUACGGGAGGCAGCAGUAGGGAAUCUUCCGCAAUGGGCGAAAGCCUGACGGAGCAACGCCGCGUGAGUGAUGAAGGUCUUCGGAUAGUAAAACUCUGUUAUUAGGGAAGAACAAAUGUGUAAGUAACUAUGCACGUCUUGACGGUACCUAAUCAGAAAGCCACGGCUAACUACGUG
rnacentral:rRNA from 1 species